rnacentral:rRNA from 1 species
UACGUAGGGUGCGAGCGUUAAUCGGAAUUACUGGGCGUACAGCGCGCGCAGGCGGUUGAACACGUGCCGGGUGACAGACGUCGGCUUAACCGACGUAGGCCAGGGUACACGGUUCGACUGGAGGCAGAGAGAGGGAUGUGGAAUACCCGGUGGAGCGGUGAAAUGCGCAGAUAUCAGGAGGAACACCGGUGGCGAAGGCGGGUCUCUGGGCCGAUACUGACGCUGAGGAGCGAAAGCGUGGGGAGCGAACAGG